GGAAAUCGAGCGGGAUGAGGAUAGUGCUUGCACCGGCAGGGAAACUAGCAACGAUUCAUCAAAGAACAAGGACUUGUGGGGGAUCCAAAGCUCACGCGAGGGACUGGAAGCAGCCACAGACGAGAACAAGCGCAAAAACCGCAAGCAGGGAAUUGAGGGUAACUGAUGAUAAAAUCAGAGGGCACAUAAUAAAACAACUCUCCAUCCCCCAUCCUAUGUCAGGGUGGCCUUGGCGGCGGUUUUAGGUGACACGUGUGGCGAACCAAGAAACCACAUCUAUAGCAGGAGGGCCUACAUCAGCAUGCUCAUGGGAAAUAAGUUCGUAGAAAGUGGUCACCCAAGAAUAUCAAAACAUGAAGGGAUAUGUUUCUUGCCAUUAUGCCAUCUAAAAUAAAAUUCUUUGACAGCAUAACAAAUUGCGAAGAAUAGACAGAUUUAGGGGUUAUUUUAAGCUAUUUUCAUAAUGGCAGAGGUGAGUAUUUCUUUACAAAACAUAAUGGAUCCAAUUGCUAUGAUGAUUUGAGACUACCGAAUUGAUGGCCAAAUGUUUUACUUUUUUGAGAAAAUUUUUAGGAUUGUUCUUCUUUUUUUAGAGUGUCAUAUGUCCACCUAGGAUCUUAUGCGGCUUCAUGUGGAGGUUUCAAAAGGGACCUCCAAUUAGUAAUAGUAAGAUUCCGUAAAUAUGAAAAGUAUUCUACUUGUUUCUCGCACCGAACUUUCAAAUUUGAUUUGUGUCUAGUGCAGUUUAUAUAAGAAACAUGACGGCUACUCGCAUUCAACACCUUAAGAUUGAUGAGCAUUGUUAGCUGAUCAAAACUUUUGACGAGUUUACGUGGUGCAUGCAAAGUCAAUAAAUGGUAUUUGAAAGGGAGAAUAUGGAUUUGACAAUUAUGUAUAUCUUCGAAUCCUACACGAUUAAUUAACAGUGUUGCAAUGGACCACCUAUAAUUUCUCUGUGUAGCGCACCCAGGUGCAGACACUCUUGCCAAAAUGCCAAUGCCCCCUAUUAGACUUAGUAGAAGACAUGUCCAUCAGUUUGACAUGAAUUGGCUCUAGAGAAUCAUCACCAUCUGCAUCUUCAUCAUCAUCUUCAUCUUCCAUCAUUUGCUUGAAGUACAUAGCAUAGCGCAUCUUUGAAGCGGCGGAUAGACUCAUACUCUUGAUGACUGAACGUGAGCUCUUAAAUAACAGGCUCACAAGAUCCAACUCCUCGCUUGCUCCUGUGAAUCCAC
rnacentral:lncRNA from 1 species